AACGCACAUUGCGCCCAUCAGUAUUCUGUUGGGCAUGCCUGUCCGAGCGUCAUUUCAACCCUCAGGGCCCGUUCGCGGGAACUGGUGUUGGGGAUCGGCCUCCCCCCGGAGGCCGGCCCCGAAAUGCAGUGGCGGCUCUACCGCGAUCUCCUCUGUGUAGUAGCGAUACCUCGCAGCUGGAUAGUGGUGGUGCCACGCCGUAAAAUCCCAACUUUACCAAGGUUGACCUCGGAUCAGGUAGGAAUACCCGCUGAACUUAA
rnacentral:misc_RNA from 2 species